rnacentral:rRNA from 1 species
GUAUCCCUACGGGGGGCAGCAGUGAGGAAUAUUGGUCAAUGGGCGAGAGCCUGAACCAGCCAAGUCGCGUGAAGGAUGACGGCCCUACGGGUUGUAAACUUCUUUUGUCAGGGAGCAAUUGGGUCCACGCGUGGGCUUAGCGAGAGUACCUGAAGAAAAAGCAUCGGCUAACUCCGUGCCAGCAGCCGCGGUAAUACGGAGGAUGCGAGCGUUAUCCGGAUUUAUUGGGCGUAAAGCGAGUGCUGGCGGUUCAA